UCGAACGGUAACAGGAAGCAGCUUGCUGCUUCGCUGACGAGUGGCGGACGGGUGAGUAAUGUCUGGGAAACUGCCUGAUGGAGGGGGAUAACUACUGGAAACGGUAGCUAAUACCGCAUAACGUCGCAAGACCAAAGAGGGGGACCUUCGGGCCUCUUGCCAUCGGAUGUGCCCAGAUGGGAUUAGCUAGUAGGUGGGGUAACGGCUCACCUAGGCGACGAUCCCUAGCUGGUCUGAGAGGAUGACCAGCCACACUGGAACUGAGACACGGUCCAGACUCCUACGGGAGGCAGCAGUGGGGAAUAUUGCACAAUGGGCGCAAGCCUGAUGCAGCCAUGCCGCGUGUAUGAAGAAGGCCUUCGGGUUGUAAAGUACUUUCAGCGGGGAGGAAGGCGACAGGGUUAAUAACCCUGUCGAUUGACGUUACCCGCAGAAGAAGCACCGGCUAACUCCGUGCCAGCAGCCGCGGUAAUACGGAGGGUGCAAGCGUUAAUCGGAAUUACUGGGCGUAAAGCGCACGCAGGCGGUCUGUCAAGUCGGAUGUGAAAUCCCCGGGCUCAACCUGGGAACUGCAUUCGAAACUGGCAGGCUAGAGUCUUGUAGAGGGGGGUAGAAUUCCAGGUGUAGCGGUGAAAUGCGUAGAGAUCUGGAGGAAUACCGGUGGCGAAGGCGGCCCCCUGGACAAAGACUGACGCUCAGGUGCGAAAGCGUGGGGAGCAAA
rnacentral:rRNA from 1 species